ACACAUGUUGGCCCCGAUUGCUUCUGUGGAGCGAAUGAAUGCAAUGAAACACAUGUGUUUGGGUCCCUUUGUUUUGCUUUUAUGGCAAGCCGUUUUAACAUUUAAUCCUUGUAACAUAGUAGGAUCUAUAUUUCAGCUACAUUAACUUUUUUAACUACUUGUAUCUUUUCCAUUAAGUACUUGUACUUAUUCAUUAGAUGCUAGUGCUUAUUAAAUAGACACUAGUAAUUCUUCAUUUAUUAGACACUAUUACUAAUUUAUUAGAUACUAGUACUUAUUCAUUAGAUACUAGUACUUAUUUGUGACCCUGGACCACAAAACCAGUUUUAAGUGUAAAUUUUUCAAAAUUGAGAUUUAUACAUCAUCUGAAAGCUGAAUAAUUAAUCUCUCCAUUGAUGUAUGGUUUGUUAGGAGGACAAUAUUUGUCUGAGAUACAACUAUUUGAAAAUCUGGAAUCUGAUGGAGCAAAAAAAUCUAAAUAUUGAGAAAAUCACCUUUAAAGUUGUUCAAACGAAGUUCUUAGCAAUGCAUAUUACAAACAAAAAUUAAGUUUCUAUAUAUUUACGGUAGGAAAUUUACAAAAUAUCUUCAUGAAACAUGAUCUUUACUUAAUAUCCUAAUGAUUUUUGGCAUAAAAUAAAAAUCAUUAAUUUUGACCCAUACAAUGUAUUUUUGGCUAUUGCUACAAAUAUACCCCAGCUACUGAAGACUGCUUUUGUGCUCCAGGGUCACAUAUAUUACAUUACAAGUACUUAUUGAUUAGCUACUAGUAUUUACUAGUUACUAGUAAGAUUAUUUGUUUUACUAGUAAUUUUUUAAUUGAACUCUACUGUGGGCAUUCGGACUAGUCAUAACAUAAGACGAGUAAAAAAACAGAAACGUAAAAAUUAACAAAUUUAAAAAGUACUAUAUCUAUUAAGUUCAGGGUAUCUCUGGUCUAAAAGGUUGCUAAUAAUUAAAAAAUAAGUACUAGUUCUAUUUAUUCUUAACAAGUAAAGUAUAAUUAAAAACUAUUCACUA
ensembl:lncRNA